UCCGUAGGGGUAACCUGCGGAAGGA
rnacentral:rRNA from 1 species